GCUAAGAUAGCCGAGCGGUUAGAGGCGAGACCUGUAAAGCUGUAUAUGUAUUGUGGUACUGGGUUCGAUUCCCGGUCUUAGGG
rnacentral:tRNA from 1 species